UACGUAGGGUCCGAGCGUUGUCCGGAAUUAUUGGGCGUAAAGGGCUCGUAGGCGGUUCGUCACGUCGGGAGUGAAAACUCGGGGCUUAACUCGGUGCUUGCUUUCGAUACGGGCAGACUAGAGGCAUGCAGGGGAGAACGGAAUUCCUGGUGUAGCGGUGAAAUGCGCAGAUAUCAGGAGGAACACCGGUGGCGAAGGCGGUUCUCUGGGCAUGUCCUGACGCUGAGGAGCGAAAGUGUGGGGAGCGAACAGG
rnacentral:rRNA from 1 species